CCUACGGGUGGCUGCAGUCGAGAAUCAUUCACAAUGGGGGAAACCCUGAUGGUGCGACGCCGCGUGGGGGAAUGAAGGUCUUCGGAUUGUAAACCCCUGUCAUGUGGGAGCAAAUUAAAAAGAUAGUACCACAAGAGGAAGAGACGGCUAACUCUGUGCCAGCAGCCGCGGUAAUACAGAGGGCUCAAGCGUUGUUCGGAAUCACUGGGCGUAAAGCGUGCGUAGGCGGUUUAAUAAGUCGUGUGUGAAAGGCGCGGGCUCAACCGGCGGACGGCACAUGAUACUGCGAGACUAGAGUGAUGGAGGGGGAACUGGAAUUCUCGGUGUAGCAGUGAAAUGCGUAGAUAUCGGGAGGAACACUCGUGGCGAAGGCGAGUUCCUGGACAGUAACUGACGUUGAGGCACGAAGGCCAGGGGAGCGAAAGGGAUUAGAUACCCCUGUAGUC
rnacentral:rRNA from 1 species